ACUAAGAUAGCUUAUUUUAGAGCAUAGCAUUGAAGCUGCUAAGGAAUUUUUAAAUUCUUAGUA
rnacentral:tRNA from 1 species